rnacentral:lncRNA from 1 species
CCUUUCAGCCUUCUCCAUUGUGCCUUUGAGCAUCCCAACCUCGAGCUCGAACUUCUUUUUCCCCUUCAUAAAUUUGUGGGAACUCUCAAUGUACCCAUUCAAAUAAUGGGUGAGCUGGUAAAAAAAAAAAUGACCCUUGUGAGUAAACACUAAACAUAUAUACAAAGUAAAUAAAAUUGCAAGAGCUCCAGCAUUCUCGGAUGAGGUAGUUCACAGUUGCUUUUCUUAUCUCCUUUCGAGUGAUAUUUAGCAGCUCGUUUGCAUCAGUAGGA